CAAUAGCGUAUAUUAAAGUUGUUGCAGUUAAAAAGCUCGUAGUUGGAUUUCGGAGCCGACCGGGCGGUCUGUCGAGAGACACGCACUGCUCGGUGGCUCUUCCUCUCGGAGGCCCUGGCUGCCCUUAACUGGAGCGGGCAGGGGAUUCGGGACGUUUACUUUGAAAAAAUUAGAGUGUUCAAAGCAGGCCGGUGCUUGGAUACAUUAGCAUGGAAUAAUGGAAUAGGGCUUGGGUCCUAUUUUGUUGGUUUUCGGGACCGAGGUCAUGGUUAAGAGGGACAGUUGGGGGCAUUCGUAUUCAAUUGUCAGAGGUGAAAUUCUUGGAUUUAUGGAAGACGUACAACUGCGAAAGCAUUUGCCAAGGAUGUUUUCAUUGA
rnacentral:rRNA from 1 species